UUUAGUAUGAUGUUUCAGUUUCUGUUUAUAUCCCAGUGUAAAUUCUUUUAUCAGAGCAACAUGGCAAGAACACUACUGGUGGUAGUGGUCAAGCUAGAAGCAUGUUCCAAAUGAGAGAAAUGAUAAGUGGUGGCACAAUUUCUUUGUAAGUGUUUCCUUUCCCCUGCCUUUCUCCAUUAAUCAUUAUUACUAAUGUCUUCUCUUCUUUUGUAGUAAAACUAAUACUGGUAAGACAAGUUUCACGAUGAAAUCUACC
rnacentral:lncRNA from 1 species